rfam:Callipepla squamata strain Texas jcf7180005221921, whole genome shotgun sequence.
CAGCGCUAAUGCUAUUGGUUACACAAGAGCUCCAGUCAGGACAUAUUGAGCCUUCUCUUAGCCAUUGGAAUACUCCCAUUUUUGUCAUCAAAAAACAUUCUGGUACUUUUCGCUUGCUUCAUGACUUGCAUGCAGUUAAUGCUCAGCUUAUCCCUUUUGGCUUGGUUCAGCAAGGUGGUCCUGUCCUAUCGACUAUACCGCAAAAAUGGCCAAUAGUAGUUAUAGAUUUAAAGGACUGUUUCUUUUCCAUUCCCCUUGCUGAGCAAGACAGAGAAGCACUUGCUUUUAC